rnacentral:misc_RNA from 1 species
UCCGGUUUGGCACCGGCAGUCUCCCUAGAGUUCCCGGCAUGACCCGCUGGCAACUAGGGACAGGGGUUGCGCUCGUUGCGCCACUUAAGGCAACACCUCACGGCACGAGCUGACGACAGCCAUGCACCACCUGUGCAGGCUCCGAAGAGCACCCGCUUUCACGGGUUUCACCCUGCAUGUCAAGCCCAGGUAAGGUUCUUCGCGUCGCAUCGAAUUAAGCCGCAUGCUCCGCCGCUUUAACUAGCAU